rnacentral:lncRNA from 1 species
UGAGGGUCUUAAUAGCCAGAUCCUCUGCAACUUAAUCAACUGUUUUCCAAACUAUAAGAAAACAAAUGAAUAUUUAUUUGAAACCCCUCAAAUGUGCACAUUACAUUAUUCAAUCGUCCAAUAUCCCUGUGAGGUAGAUAUUGUUGUUUUAGAGUUGAGACUCAGUAAGUUAAGCAUCUUUUCAAAGAUGGCACAGUUAGUAUAUGGUAGAGCCAGAAUUUGAAGCCACAUCUAUAAUAUUCCAUCAUGAGGAACCAGCACUACAGACCAAUAACCUUGCAAAGCAAUUAUUGCAACAGGCCACAUCAACCUGCUCAUGAAACACCACCUGUGGUCUGAAUAAAUAACACCUGCUACAAAUAAUUACACCACUGUCUUUGAAGUAUUUGAAGGUUCUGUUGCAACUUCUAAAAUACAAAUAUCAGUUAACUAAAUCCACUGUGCCUUUUUCUUGACUCAUAUUUUCUCCACCAAUAAUAAUAAUGUGGUUAAUACUCAUUGAACGUGUACACUGGGCAAUACUAGUAAGGGGCAUGGUUAGGUUUGUUGCACUCUGAAAGUCCCUUUUUUUCAUUUUAAAAUUUGUAAUUCUUUUAUUAGUAUGCUUUGAUUCUAUAGCAUUUUCUUUUUUCUUUCUUAUUGGUGCAUUAUAGUUGCACAUAAUGGUGGGAUUUGUUGUUACAUAUUCCUCUAUGCAUACAAUAUAACAAUAUAAUUUGGUCAAUAUUACUUCCAAGCACUUCCCCCUCCCUCCUUCUACCCGCUGGUCUUUUCCUCCACUCUACUGAUGUCCCUUCAAUUUUCAUGACCUGCCCCCAGCACACACACCUUUCUUUUCUUUUUCCUCUCUAGCUUCAACGUGUGAGAGAAAACACAUGACCCUUGACCUUCUGACUUUGGCUUAUUUCCCUUAACAUAAUG